rnacentral:tRNA from 2 species
GCCGCCAUGGUGAAAUCGGUAGACACGCUG